rnacentral:rRNA from 1 species
CCUACGGGGGGCUGCAGUGAGGAAUAUUGGUCAAUGGGCGCGAGCCUGAACCAGCCAAGUCGCGUGAGGGAUGAAGGUUCUAUGGAUCGUAAACCUCUUUUAUAAGGGAAUAAAGUGUGGGACGUGUCCUAUUUUGUAUGUACCUUAUGAAUAAGGAUCGGCUAACUCCGUGCCAGCAGCCGCGGUAAUACGGAGGAUCCGAGUGUUAUCCGGAUUUAUUGGGUUUAAAGGGUGCGUAGGCGGCCUUUUAAGUCAGCGGUCAAAGCCCGGGGCUCAACCCCGGCCCGCCGUUGAAACUGGCAGUCUCGAGUUGGAGAGAAGUAUGCGGAAUGCGCGGUGUAGCGGUGAAAUGCAUAGAUAUCGCGCAGAACUCCGAUUGCGAAGGCAGCAUGCCGGCUCCACACUGACGCUGAGGCACGAAAGCGUGGGUAUCGAACAGGAUUAGAUACCCUAGUC